CCGGAGUUUAAUACGGCCCAAAUCAGUAUAACCGAGUUCAAUAACCGGUAAGAAUUAAAAUAUUUUACAUUAUUCACCCAAAUCUUUACAUUAAUCACAACAAACUCCAACAUCUAUUCGACUCUUUCAAAUUCACACUCUUCCUCCUCUUCGAAAUCUCCGAGUACAAAAUCGAUCAAUCUCUCGGAAAAUGAUCGUGUAUUCUCUCUCUCAGCCUCACUGCUUCCUAAUGAAUCUCUCUAUUUCUCCUCAUUACGGUUGCUGCUACUGCGGAGUUUGGUGGGGAGGUAUUAGAGACGGAGCUUUGGUGCGUGGCGAAGAACAACGUUGAGGAUUCAACACUUUAAACGGCCAUUGACUGGGCUUGUGGUCCCAGAGGAGCUGAUUGCGUCUAGAUUCAGCAAGGUGGAUCCUGCUACGAUCCAUUGGAUAUAGUGAAGAUGGCUUCGUAUGUAUUCAAUAACUAUUAUCUGAUGGAAUGGUCUCGCAGAUGAAGCUUGCAACUUUAGUAACAACGCAGCUGUUACUUCUCUCAAUCCUAGUAAGUUCACAUUUUCUUUCAGGAUCAAUGUCUAGCAGAUAGUUAUGACUUUUGCUAAUUGAAAAUGUUGAAAGUUUGAUGCUUUUUCUGCAAUUUUUCGUUUUCAGGUCAAGGAACAUGCAAGUUUCCUUCAAGUAAGGGAGUGAGCAAUGGAAGUAUCGCAGAUGCCACUUCAAUGCAGGGAGCAACUGCACCAGAAUUCUCAGAUUGAGCCGAGCAAGGCGGAUGUUUAGCAGCUGGUUGUCACCCUUCGUCAUUUUAGGCCACAUUGUGACAAUGACACUGAUUAUCCAACAGGUUUAGCUUCCGAUUGGUGAUUGAAGGACAAGAAUGGUUGAUCCUGUUCGAAGAUCUUUCCCUCGUCAAGAUUUUCCUAAACGAAUUUAAUCGCGAAGCCGGGGAUACAACUGUUUUGUUAUCUGAGGAAGAAGAGGAUGCGGCUUCUACAGUCAAGUUCAGCCUGGUUUCCACCAACAACUGCGGUGCAGUACCGACUGGUCCUUCCCUUGGCUCAGGCUCAAGUCUCGGUCUUGGCUCAACUUCAGUCCGACAAACAGGACAAGUGGAGCAAGUGGUGAGCCACGUGUCAACACAGUCGACGUGGAAGAUGUGCUUGCAGUUGGGCAACUCUCUCGCCUUGUCUUGCUCCUUUAACACGCUUAGACACACUGCGCAUUCAGUAGCGGAGGCAGCCACGCCAUCAGUGGCUCCAACAGUGAAAGUAGGGAGAGAAGCGAUGACUGUGGGAUUGAGGCCACGCUUAGGCAUCUCAAAAGGGUGGCGGAAAAUGACGGGGAGGCCACGGAAAGCUUCUCUACGGCGUCGGAGAACGAAUCUUGCGUAAAGAUGAAGAGCGAAGACGAUGAGGAUAACUCCAGAUAAAGAAGCCACUGCGGCAAGCAUGAUCUUGCUGUUAAGAUCGUAAGUAGACGGAUUAGGCCAGAAUGAGUGGUGGUCAGAGUUGAACCUGCGAUGAUCUCUGUCGUUGGAGCUCAUUGUGAAGCUGGUUUUUCUUCGGUGGAUGCAAAAGAAAAGUGAACAAAAGAGUUUACUAACUUAUGAUUUAUUAUAUAAGGAAUAAAGGACUUAUAGAAUUUCUUAUUUUGAUUGUUUUUC
rnacentral:lncRNA from 1 species